rnacentral:rRNA from 1 species
UGGGGAAUAUUGGGCAAUGGGGGAAACCCUGACCCAGCAACGCCGCGUGAAGGAAGAAGGCCUUCGGGUUGUAAACUUCUUUGACGAGGGACGAAACAAAUGACGGUACCUCGAAAACAAGCCACGGCUAACUACGUGCCAGCAGCCGCGGCAAUACGUAGGGGGCAAGCGUUGUCCGGAUUUACUGGGUGUAAAGGGCGCGUAGGCGGGCCUGCAAGUCAGAUGUGAAAUGCUGAGGCUUAACCUCAGAGCUGCAUUUGAAACUGGUGUUCUUGAGUGAUGGAGAGGCAGGCGGAAUUCCUAGUGUAGCGGUGAAAUGCGUAGAUAUUAGGAGGAACACCAGUGGCGAAGGCGGCCUGCUGGACAUUAACUGACGCUGAGGCGCGAAAGCGUGGGGAGCAAACA